rnacentral:rRNA from 1 species
CCUACGGGAGGCAGCAGUGGGGAAUUUUGCGCAAUGCUCGUAAGAGUGACGCAGCGACGCCGCGUGAAUGACGAAGGCCUUCGGGUCGUAAAGUUCUUUCGACAGGGAAGAAAAUGCCUAUAAGUAACUGUGUAUGUAUUGACGGUACCUGUAUAAGCAGCCCCGGCUAACUCCGUGCCAGCAGCCGCGGUAAUACGGAGGGGGCGAGCGUUGUUCGGAGUGACUGGGCGUAAAGAGCACGUAGGCGGUGUUGUAAGUCAUUAGUCAAAGACUAGAGCUCAACUUUAGUAAGGCUAGUGAUACUAUAAUACGAGAGUAUCAGAGAGGAUUGCAGAAUUCCUGGUGUAGCGGUGAAAUGCGUAGAUAUCAGGAGGAAUACCGUUAGCGAAGGCGGCAAUCUGGCUGGAAACUGACGCUGAGGUGCGAAGGCGUGGGUAGCAAACAGGAUUAGAUACCCCAGUAGUC